rnacentral:rRNA from 1 species
AGAACGAACGCUGGCGGCAUGCCUAAUACAUGCAAGUCGAACGAGAUCUUCGGGUCUAGUGGCGCACGGGUGCGUAACGCGUGGGAAUCUACCCUUGGGUUCGGAAUAACAGUUGGAAACGACUGCUAAUACCGGAUGAUGACGAAAGUCCAAAGAUUUAUCGCCCAAGGAUGAGCCCGCGCAGGAUUAGCUAGUUGGUGAGGUAAAGGCUCACCAAGGCUACGAUCCUUAGCUGGUCUGAGAGGAUGAUCAGCCACACUGGGACUGAGACACGGCCCAGACUCCUACGGGAGGCAGCAGUAGGGAAUAUUGGACAAUGGGGGCAACCCUGAUCCAGCAAUGCCGCGUGAGUGAUGAAGGCCUUAGGGUUGUAAAGCUCUUUACCCGAGAUGAUAAUGACAGUAUCGGAGAAUAAGCUCCGGCUAACGUCCGUGCCAGCGAGCCGAC